UAAGUCUCAAUUGAAAGUAUCGUCAAACUACCAAACUGCCAUAAAAGUCAAUAUGCAAACUUUAGAAAAGUUUUACCUAAAUCUUAAAUUUUUACUUUUCGGAAGAAAUUUCAUCUGAGAAAAUUAAAUAUUCCCCUCCAUAGGCCGCCAAGAAGAGAAACACUGGUGGCUUCGAUCUGAAUAACAAGGACCGCUAGAUGGCAACAUAUUCUCCUAUAAAGCGGCCAAAAGGAUUCCAAGUGUCCUCAUUGAACCAAAAAUGUGUUUCAUCACAGAUUCAUUACUAAUUGAAAAUAAAUGUUGCAUACAUCAUCCAAUA